rnacentral:rRNA from 1 species
CUUUAUUGGAGAGUUUGAUCCUGGCUCAGGAUGAACGCUGGCGGCGUGCCUAAUACAUGCAAGUCGAGCGAAUGGAUUAAGAGCUUGCUCUUAUGAAGUUAGCGGCGGACGGGUGAGUAACACGUGGGUAACCUGCCCAUAAGACUGGGAUAACUCCGGGAAACCGGGGCUAAUACCGGAUAACAUUUUGA